rnacentral:rRNA from 1 species
GACGAACGCUGGCGGCGUGCUUAACGCAUGCAAGUCGAACGAGGUCCAUGGUGCUUGCACCGGAAGACCUAGUGGCGAACGGGUGAGUAACACGUGAGGAACCCACCCUGGAGACCGGGAUAACCCCCCGAAAGGGGAGCUAAUACCGGAUGCCCUCAUCGGAUCGCAUGGUCUGAUGAGGAAAUGGAUUCCGCUCCAGGACGGCCUCGCGGCCUAUCAGCUUGUUGGUGGGGUAACGGCCUACCAAGGCAUCGACGGGUAGCUGGUCUGAGAGGACGGUCAGCCACACUGGGACUGAGACACGGCCCAGACUCCUACGGGAGGCAGCAGCGGGGAAUAUUGCGCAAUGGGCGAAAGCCUGACGCAGCAACGCCGCGUGAGGGAUGAAGGCUCUCGGGUUGUAAACCUCUUUCAGCAGGGACGAUUGUGACGGUACCCGCAGAAGAAGCCCCGGCCAACUACGUGCCAGCAGCCGCGGUAAUACGUAGGGGGCGAGCGUUGUCCGGU